rnacentral:misc_RNA from 1 species
CUGCGAAAGAGGGAAGAAAGAAAUCGAUCCGUGUCUUGGUGGCUGUGGGGAACGGAAAAGGAGCUGCAGGUUUUUCUAUUGGGAAAGCUACUGAUCGGAUGGAUGCUUUCAGGAAAGCAAAGAACAGAGCAGUUCACCAUUUGCAUUAUAUAGAACGAUAUGAAGACCAUACAAUAUUCCAUGAUAUUUCAUUAAGAUUUAAAAGGACGCAUAUCAAGAUGAAGAAACAACCCAAAGGUUACGGCCUCCGCUGCCACAGG